UACGUAGGGUGCGAGCGUUGUCCGGAAUUACUGGGCGUAAAGGGCUCGUAGGUGGCCGACUAAGUCAGACGUGAAAUCCCUCGGCUUAACCGGGGAACUGCGUCUGGUACUGGACGGCUUGAGUUCGGGAGAGGGAUGCGGAAUUCCAGGUGUAGCGGUGAAAUGCGUAGAUAUCUGGAGGAACACCGGUGGCGAAGGCGGCAUCCUGGACCGACACUGACACUGAGGAGCGAAAGCCAGGGGAGCAAACGGG
rnacentral:rRNA from 1 species